AAACAGGAAGAACAACAAAAACUCAAAAAGACUUAGAUUAAAAACACAACAAAGAACAUUUAGUUUGUAAAACACUAUCUUUGUUUCCUAGUGAUUCAAAGAAGGAUUUGGAGCAAAUAAUUCAGUUCGUGAAUUUCAUUCCGCUGCAACAAUCAAAGAUAUGGCUGAAUGGGAACAUGCUCAAACUACUCCAAGUAGGAGUUCUCAAAGUCGAGCAAAGGGACAAGGUAGAAGAGUAAGCCGUCAUAAGAUGUUUCUGAGGGCGUGAAAUUGUACAGAUUGGUGUCCCAAGGGCGACAUAAAAUCAGUCAAGGAUCCAAAGGGCCAUUCGAAGGGGAAAAGAGAAAAAAUUUAAAGAGUUUGAGUCAUUGAAAAUGUCCCCUAAUAUGUCAGCACGUGAUUUUAUUCACCUUUUUGAAAUAAAAUGGGUUGAACUGGCUGAUUAUACGGAAAUUUCAAAUUGGAGAGCCUUAGCUUAUUUAACAAACUCUCUCCGUGAACCUUGGGGUAAUAGAUUGACUGAUGUUUAUCAUGACAUUUGGCCCAGUCAACCUUUUAGGGUUUACAUUUGUUGUCUUGAAGACUUGUGGGAGGAUUUCAGUCUUUGAAUUACUUGUAAACUUUGUUGCUUAUUUGUUAUUUCAAGAUAUGAAUUAUGUAGUUGAUUUUCUCUCUCAAA